AAAUAAUGAAGUUUGAUUUGGCUAGGUAUGAAGAUCAAUUAAAAAGUCAAAGAUUAUUGGCGGUGUUUUGUUAAAUUCUGAGAAUCUUGCUAAAUUAAAAUGAUAUUACACAGUUUAUCUUAUCUUAGUUAAUUGGUUUAUAUAUUGCUGUUUAAUUUAUUAUUUGCUAUAAAUUUUGAAUAAAUUUGAUUUGUUUUAGGCAGAAAAUUCAAGUCAAAAUGUAGUAAUAUUAAGGUUUUAGUGAGUUGCUUUUUUCUAGAGAGGGAGUGUUUUAUGAAAUUAUUUUUUGAGGAUUAGGUAGUAAAAAGAAAGUAGUUAGUUCUUUUGAUAAAACUUUCCUCAUGU
rnacentral:rRNA from 1 species